rnacentral:rRNA from 1 species
CCUACGGGAGGCAGCAGUGGGGAAUAUUGCACAAUGGGGGAAACCCUGAUGCAGCGACGCCGCGUGAGUGAAGAAGUAAUUCGUUACGUAAAGCUCUAUCAGCAGGGAAGAAAAUGACGGUACCUGGGCAAGAAGCCCCGGCUAAAUACGUGCCAGCAGCCGCGGUAAUUCGUAGGGGGCAAGCGUUAUCCGGAUUUACUGGGUGUAAAGGGAGCGUAGACGGUGCGCCAAGUCUGGAGUGAAAGGCCGCAGCGUAAAUGCGGAACUGCGUUGGAAACUGGCGCACUAGAGUGCGGGAGGGGUAAGCGGAAUGCCUGGUGUAGCGGUGAAAUGCGUAGAUAUCAGGAGGAACACCGGGGGCGAAGGCGGCUUACUGGACCGUGACUGACGUUGAGGCUCGAAAGCGUGGGGAGCAAACAGGAUUAGAUACCCGUGUAGUC